rnacentral:rRNA from 1 species
CUCCGCCUACGGGACGCAGCAGUGGGGAAUAUUGCACAAUGGGGGAAACCCUGAUGCAGCAACGCCGCGUGAGUGAGGAAGUAUUUCGGUAUGUAAAGCUCUAUCAGCAGGGAAUAGAAAAGAAGGUACCUGAAAAAGAAGACCCGGCUAACUACGUGCCAGCAGCCGCGGUAAUACGUAGGGGGCAAGCGUUAUCCGGAGUUACUGGGUGUAAAGGGAGCGUAGACGGAAAGGCAAGUCAGAAGUGAAAGCCCAAGGAUCAACAAUGGGACUGCUUUUGAAACUGUCAAACUAGAGUACGGGAG